CAAAGCUGGAGAAUGCAAGGAAAGCUGGUGGUGUGAUCCAGUCUGAGUCCAGUGAGCUGAUCAUGUAAUUAGAGCCCAAGGCUGGUGUCCUGACAGUGCAGACGUUCUGAUACCCCAGGGAGGAGACAGAGAGAACCCUCUCUUCUGCCUUGCUUUACAUGGACUCUGACAGGUGAAUACACGGCAAUACCUUACCAAGAGGUUUGUGGGAAGAUUGGUGAUUCAAGGCUGGCCUGGAGAAGAUAACGCUCAUGGGACUCGAAGUAUGUUGUUGCCCUAGUAUGGGGGACCUAGAGGAUGCCAUAUAUUGCAGAAAACCCAUUAUACUACUGGUCCUUAGAGAAUAACUUGGAAAUCCGUGUGCAGCAACCUCAAUGACCAAGAUCACCUAAACUGCAGUUUACUGUACCAAUAAAUGUCUGCGUGCUGAUGGCCACCACUCUGAGAAGCUCUUGUAAUUAUGGAGGCCGAAGAAAACUUGUAUCAGUCUCGUGAUGUCUCAGUAAAUUCAGUAUUGAAAUAUUUA